AAUAUUGCACAAUGGGGGAAACCCUGAUGCAGCGACGCCGCGUGAGCGAAGAAGGCCUUCGGGUCGUAAAGCUCUGUCCUAAGGGAAGAAACGGACGGUACCUUAGGCGAAAGCCCCGGCUAACUACGUGCCAGCAGCCGCGGUAAUACGUAGGGGGCAAGCGUUGUCCGGAAUUAUUGGGCGUAAAGGGUGCGUAGGCGGCCUUUUAAGUCAGAUGUGAAAGCCCGCGGCUUAACUGCGGGAUUGCAUUUGAAACUGGGAGGCUUGAGUAUCGGAGAGGGUAGUGGAAUUCCCAGUGUAGCGGUGAAAUGCGUAGAUAUUGGGAGGAACACCAGUGGCGAAGGCGACUGCCUGGACGAAAACUGACGCUGAGGCACGAAAGCUAGGGGAGCAAAC
rnacentral:rRNA from 1 species